rnacentral:lncRNA from 1 species
CUCUAGGAUAUUGUGCCUUAGCAACAGUGGAAAUUGCAAUGGUGGAAAACAGCCAGGUAGCUCCAGGUGCCAUUUUCCUUCCAGAACUACUGAAUGCAAGUUAGCCUCAAAUCAUUUCCAAGGUUGAGCGGCAAAACAGACGGGUCCAUUACUCUGUGAAGGGGAGCUCCCUCAAAUGCCUUUCUUCAACUGAUCCAACCAGAAACAUUUAUGCAGAAGUGAAGAUAGAGAAAGUCAGGCAAAGCUUAUUGGGAAUGAAGAUGUUGCAAUUAUUUGAUGACCUGGCUAAGGAGCAUUCACAGAAGAGACUGAUAAGAAGGAGCCAGCCUUCAUAGACAGUGUGAGUAAAAAGACAAAAAACAAAUUUGUAUUUCAGAGCUUUCCCUGGUGACAAUAAAAACAGUUUUU